AGCUCCUGUUAGUGCCGGUGUGUGUGUGUGUGUGUGUGUGUGUGUGUGUGUGUGUGUCCCCACUCAUGCACACA
rnacentral:miRNA from 10 species